UAAGCCCCAAAAUAGUGGCAUACCCCUUUAACGUUUACACCACUCAAGCACACAUCACGUACAGUACAGUACGGUACAGUUCAGUGAAGUACAGCGCAGUACAGUAUACUAUAGUACAGCGCACUAUGAUGCAUUACAAUACACUGUACAGGACAGUACGGUCACACACAGCUUGCUUAAAGGGGUGGGGUCUAGUGCUCUUCUCAAGACUGUAGUAGAUGGAAAUGCUCUCGUCUCUCCACCAUGCAAGUUGUUUGUGUUUACCGUGGUAACGGCCCAAGGGGUAAACACUGUUCAGUAGUGCAUUCAUGUAACCUGCAUUGUUUUGUGGAAAACACUUUACUUGGCGCCAGUUUCAUGAUCGUGUCAUGACAGUGUCGUAAGGCAGUCAUGGACAUGUCAUAAAAUGAUGUCAAUGUCAUAAACAUUUUAUGUGACAUCGAUUUAUGGUAAAGACAGCCCAAACAAUGGCAACUUUUCAUCAUCAUAAAACGUGACAUUGACAUAAUGCUCAUGACUCUCCAUGACUAUGUCACAACACUGUCAGGACACUGUCGUGGCACGCAUAUGACGCUGGCGUCAAGUAAAGUGUUCCCUUUUUUUAAAGAGGCGCUAACAUCUAGCUGGCUGUAGGAAUGUGAUAUUAUGAACUAAAGGGACGCGAUAUGAGCUAUUGCUUUUUAAACUGCUGCUAUGCCCAUCUACACUUGGGGAAUUAAAAGCUAUGGCUAUUAUUAUUAUUAUUAUUGUUGUUAUUAUUAUUAUUAUUUGUAUUGCUUUAUCAGUGUCAAAUGAGGGAAGAUGCAACCAACAGACAUUUUUUUCUUUUCUUUUUUGUUAAGCAGCGCUUGAUGGUGUGGUAUUCUAUUUGUGCAGUGCAAUUGGUUUGGUUUGGACAGCUGUAACUUUUUUCUGUUCAAGUUUUGGGUUCACAUCUGUAUAUUAUGACUGACUGCCCUUUUUUUUUUCUUUUGCGUUAUCUUCAGUGUUCCCAUAAUUUGUGUUUGUUUUGUAAAGUUGUCAUUAUCUGUAUUUAAUUUAUUGUAAAUAUUUUUUAAGUUCCUGUAAAUAUUCACGACAUAGACGAUGACUCAGCAAUGUACCAUUGGCCGACUGUGAAGUAAUGACCUUUGACCUUUCUUUGAAAUAAAAAGUAAUUUUAAAAGGGUUCAA